CCCCCAACUCGGUUAUAACUGAGCAGGUGUCCCCUGUCCUUAGGACCUUUCCUGGGAAGGCAGCACGCGAGCCAGGAGCCCUGGCGGCCUUGGAGAUGUAAGGAUUCGGGGAUGAAGCAGCUCUAGCAACUGGGUUCCAUGCAGCUUCUCAACUGAGCCAAGGACAGAUGAGGAAGAUGCCGUGACAGGAGCCCAGGACUGGAAGGCCCUUCAGCUGACAAGCAGGGUGUCCACACACCCACGGCGAAGGUCACGCUUCGAG